rnacentral:rRNA from 1 species
UAAUAACUUAAAAUUUAAAAGACUUGACGGUACUUCACAUCAACCUAGAGGAGCCUGUCUAACAACCGAUAAUCCACGAUCAACCCAGCCUUUUCUAGCCUAACAGUCUAUAUACCGCCGUCGCCAGCUUACCUUGUGAAAGAAAUAAAGUAAGCCAAACAGCACCGCACUAACACGACAGGUCGAGGUGUAACUAAUGAAAAGGAUCAAGAUGGGCUACAUUUCUUCAAUUAAGAAAACGGAUAGACCAUGAAACUAGAACCUGAAGACGGAUUUAGCAGUAAGCUAAGAACAAAAUACUUAACCGAAAUAAACGCAAUGAAGUGCGC